UACGUAGGGUGCAAGCGUUAAUCGGAAUUACUGGGCGUAAAGCGUGCGCAGGCGGUUCUAUAAGACAGAUGUGAAAUCCCCGGGCUCAACCUGGGAACUGCAUUUGUGACUGCAUAGCUAGGGUACGGUAGAGGGAAGUGGAAUUUCCGGUGUAGCGGUGAAAUGCGUAGAUAUCGGAAGGAACAUCAGUGGCGAAAGCGACUUCCUGGACCAGUACCGACGUUCAGGCACGAAAGCGUGGGGAGCAAACAGG
rnacentral:rRNA from 1 species